AAGGAGUCUAACAUAUUUGCGAGUAUUCGGGUGUCAUCCCCGAGUGCGCAAUUAAUGUGAAUGCUCUAUUCACGUGCAGUCUGCAGGUUCCUGCGAUAUCGAUCUUCAAUGAUGCUUUUGAGUAAGAGCAUAUAUGUUGGGACCCGAAAGAUGGUGAACUAUGCCUGAAUAGGGCGAAGCCAGAGGAAACUCUGGUGGAGGCUCGUAGCGAUUCUGACGUGCAAAUCGAUCGUCAAAUUUGGGUAUAGGGGCGAAAGACUAAUCGAACCAUCUAGUAGCUGGUUCCUGC
rnacentral:misc_RNA from 1 species